rnacentral:rRNA from 1 species
UAGAUACCCUAUUAUAAAAAUUUAAAUUAAUUUGCUAAAAAAUUAAUAGUUAAGUUCUUUAAAUUUAAAAAAUUUGGCGGUAUUUUAAUCUUAUUAGAGGAACCUGUUUUUUAAUUGAUAAUCCACGAUUAAUUUUACUUAUUUUAUUAAUUCAUAUAUCGCUGUCAUGAAUAUAUUAAAAAAUUAAUUUUCUUUAAUUAUUAUUAUAAUUUAUGUUAAGUCAAGAUGUGGUUUAUAAAUAAGCAAAUAAUGGGUUACAUUAAAUUUUAUUUUUGGAUUUUAAAUGAAAAUUAAGAUGAAAUUGGAUUUAAUAGUAAAUUUAUUUAUUUA